rnacentral:lncRNA from 1 species
AGGCUGUAAUUUUUGUUUGUUUCUGGUUGGUUUCUGGUCGAUUCAUGUGUUAGACAUCUGGUAUAGUUACGAUCUAUUGUUUGUUUGUGGUUAUAUGACAUAAGCAGUUAAAAAUGGUGGAUGUAGUAGAUGAUUCUCCUCCUGUUCCUACUAGCUUUGUCCCUAGUCCCUCGAAUCCCCUAUUUCUCAUGUCGUCUGAUGUU